rnacentral:rRNA from 1 species
CGGCGGACGGGUGAGUAAAGCUUAGGAAUCUGCCUAUUAGUGGGGGACAACAUUCCGAAAGGGAUGCUAAUACCGCAUACGUCCUACGGGAGAAAGCAGGGGAUCACUUGUGACCUUGCGCUAAUAGAUGAGCCUAAGUCGGAUUAGCUAGUUGGUGGGGUAAAGGCCUACCAAGGCGACGAUCUGUAGCGGGUCUGAGAGGAUGAUCCGCCACACUGGGACUGAGACACGGCCCAGACUCCUACGGGAGGCAGCAGUGGGGAAUAUUGGACAAUGGGCGCAAGCCUGAUCCAGCCAUGCCGCGUGUGUGAAGAAGGCCUUAUGGUUGUAAAGCACUUUAAGCGAGGAGGAGGCUACCUGGAUUAAUACUCUGGGAUAGUGGACGUUACUCGCAGAAUAAGCACCGGCUAACUCUGUGCCAGCAGCCGCGGUAAUACAGAGGGUGCGAGCGUUAAUCGGAUUUACUGGGCGUAAAGCGUGUGUAGGCGGCUGAUUAAGUCGGAUGUGAAAUCCCUGAGCUUAACUUAGGAAUUGCAUUCGAUACUGGUCAGCUAGAGUAUGGGAGAGGAUGGUAGAAUUCCAGGUGUAGCGGUGAAAUGCGUAGAGAUCUGGAGGAAUACCGAUGGCGAAGGCAGCCAUCUGGCCUAAUACUGACGCUGAGGUACGAAAGCAUGGGGAGCAAACAGGAUUAGAUACCCUGGUAGUCCAUGCCGUAAACGAUGUCUACUAGCCGUUGGGGCCUUUGAGGCUUUAGUGGCGCAGCUAACGCGAUAAGUAGACCGCCUGGGGAGUACGGUCGCAAGACUAAAACUCAAAUGAAUUGACGGGGGCCCGCACAAGCGGUGGAGCAUGUGGUUUAAU